UACAUUUACAGAGAGAAGACUGAGGAACUUGAAAGCACCAUGUUAAGGUGCAAGAAGGCUACAGCAAGUUAUGAGUGAAGGGCAGGCUGCGCUGUCUCUUGGAUACUGGGAGUGUUUAGGAACAGAGGGAUGGUUUGGCUAUGGACAUCAAUCUGUUACAGUAAGGGAUAUGGGAUCUGCCCUUGUUGUCACCCAGCUGCUCAUUACAAUUCCUCUACUUGAAGUCCUCUUGCAGUCUGAGUCACUGGGAGUCCCCGAGAGUUUCUGGAUGGAGUUGAAGCCUGGACCUCCUGGCCCUAACGUCAUGCAGCCUUGGUCCACAAGGGACAGACCGUUGUGUUUCUCACCAUGGUUCACCACAGCCAGCACACUGGAGUACCAUCAGUGCAAAAAGAGAUGGGCUGCUCAUCCCUGUAAAGGCCCCCAGCUGUACAUGAAAUUGAUCCAAAAACAUUUAGGGGAAGGGAACCAACACUUCUCUACUGGAAAUGUAUCAAAGGGCAAAAUCCAGCACCUUGUAUCAUCUGGCUUACUAAUGCUACAUGUUCUUUCCAGGUCUUCUGUCAAAAUAGAUGCAGGACAAAAGAGAUUAUUUUUGAUGCUCCUCUGCAUGCUCCAGCUGUGCAGAUAGAGAAGCUCCAGGAGUGACCAAGGGAAAAAGCUUUGUGUUGUGAAUUGAUUUCUUCGAUGUCUCAUCACAUAUAAGAAUCCUCCCACUGGCUGAAGUGCUGACUUCCUUUCACACCCAGCAGCUGAAACAAGACUUCCCAACACUCACUUUCUUACCAAAUUCAGUUCUUUAAGGGAAUUCCAGUGAUUUCAGCAGUUACACUGGCAUACAACUGAUACAAAGAAGUGAUGAAUCAGACUCUGUAGAAGAAAUCCUAGCCCAUUGAAUUCAGCAGGAAUUCUGCCAUUGACCUCAAGAGAGAAACGUUUUUACUGAUAGUUCUGAGGAAGACAGUUUCACAAAGCUCGCAGUAAAGAAGAGUGUGUAUCACUUCCUCCCUUGUGACUAAUCCUGCUCCCUUUACUGACUUUGCUCUGAUAUCUGGGAAGCCUCAGAAAACCUAUCUGCCACCAGAACAGUGAGCAAUUCCUAAGGAAACAGAUGAAUCAACAAAGUUAGAACCACUUUCAUCCUUUCUACACAAACGAUAUGUUGUAUUCCCGUCUGAUAGACCUAUGAAGGGAAAGCAGCUCAGGAUGGCCAAUGGUUUCCCUCACCAGUGCAGUCACUAAAGAGAAUCAAGAAUCAGGAAGUCAGACUACACUCUGCAAUUGCUUCUUCAAACCUUAAAAAUCAAGGAGACAUGGAGCGAAUGACUGUAUUGGGUUUGAGUCAAUGGAGAAUUACGUUCUGCUGCAUCUGGAGAGGAUAAGAAUUUGCAGGAAUCGUGGUCAUCUUGUAAGCUCCAAGGAGAAACCCUCACUUUCCUGGGAUGACGGAGAGAAGGAAUCACAGUUCCACCACAGCAAAUAAGUGUCAUCACUUUCCUUUCAGAUCCAAGGAAGUAUUUGGGUUUUUUUUUAAAGAAGCAAAAGAAGAACCCUCUUCUCUAGCAAGCAACAACAAAGACAAGGCCAGGCCCUGGUGUAUUGGAUGAAGAAAGAAGCCCUUCCUCUGGACAAGAUGUCUACUAGACCCAGCUGAGCAUUGUGAAAGAGUUAGUUCCUCACCUCUCUAAGCAAUUGCCUCUAAGGGUGGGAAUAUAAACUACAGUCUUGAUCACUUUAAUGUAGUGGUCAGCAUAAUUUGUUUUUUUAAGGUACAAACAUUUUAUCUUGUUGCCUGACUUCAGAAAAAGUAACAAAUGAGUAGGUAAAUGCACAGCUGUUUUUCAGGGAAUCAUAGCUCUGAUCUCAUCACUGGCAAAGGCUUGCUGCAGUAAAUCUGCAAAAGUGACUGAAAACCCCUCAGAAUCUGAGCACCAGGGCUUGACUGGGCUUUGGACAUAGAUGUUAAAUGAUUUUCUGCCAGUCUAGCCGAUGUGGUCAUCACAAUUUCUUCUGACUGUCUUGACACCUCUUCUUGCUCCUAUGACUUGAAUACAGGUCAGGAGGACUUUCCAAUAUGUGGUAUUACGCCUAAACAGCUUUUCUGGAGCAGCAGUUUUGGAUCAGCAUUCCUGGAUAAUCCCACGAGUGGACAAUAUCUACAUGUGGAAUUAAACAGAAAUAGUUGCUGUGUUUAGUUUCCUACCUGCAUUUGUGCCAAACUAAUUUUAAAGUGUAAAUGGUCCCUAAGAGAUUACAUAUGCACCCAGAGGAGGAAAUGCAUUCUGCUACUAUACGGCUGAAUUUGUACAAUUUAUGGAGCAUGUCAUAUAAAUGGAAUGGACAGAAAUCUGUUACUAAAUUGGAAUUGAAGAACAUGAUUGAGUGUAUCAGUGAAUGACUAAGGCCUUUAGACCUUAAAAUUGGUUUGAGUGUUCAUAGCUAUAAGCAUCCAUGAGAUCUCCCAGCAACUGGAUUGUAUAUUUGCAUAUAUAGCCUCUUCCUCUGAGUUAAAAUUUGGAUUUUUUUUUUUUCUGAUAUAUAUAAACAUUAUUCUGCCUCUCAGGCUUGACUUAAGUUACUGAAUAAAUUAGGAGUGAAAGACAACUGUGGAAAUUACAGCUAGAAAGGCAACUGAUUUAUUUUUUAAAUGCUUCUGCACAAUUUAAAUUUGAUUUGUGGUAAAUGAGACACUUGAGCAGAUGAAUUUGAAGGAGGCAUAACUUUCUCAGGCUUGCUUAUAUUUUCGGAUAGACUUACUGGAAAAGUUUUAGUUCAUCACUCUUCCAGGAUCUUGAAAUCUGACCAAGAAACCUUCCAAAGUAAUAUGAAGUUCAUGCUAAAACAAUGUUAUCAGAUAGGAAAAGUUAAUGCUACUGUUAUCUACAGGUCAGCUAACGUGUAAGUUCUCACAGAAGUUCUCUAGCAUAAUAGAUUUGCUUCCUUACUAUGGAAAUCAUGCUAUUGCUACUAUUAACAGAAACAAAAUCAGAUUCUGGCUCAACUAUUUCUAUUUAAUAAAGAAAAAAACCUGUUUAGAGCUACAGAAU
ensembl:lncRNA